AGAGCUUGCUUUAAAGAAGUUAGCGGCGGACGGGUGAGUAACACGUGGGCAACCUGCCUGUAAGACUGGGAUAACUUCGGGAAACCGGAGCUAAUACCGGAUAAUAUAUAGUACCUCCUGGUACUAUAUUGAAAGUUGGUUUCGGCUAACACUUACAGAUGGGCCCGCGGCGCAUUAGCUAGUUGGUGAGGUAACGGCUCACCAAGGCAACGAUGCGUAGCCGACCUGAGAGGGUGAUCGGCCACACUGGGACUGAGACACGGCCCAGACUCCUACGGGAGGCAGCAGUAGGGAAUCUUCCACAAUGGACGAAAGUCUGAUGGAGCAACGCCGCGUGAGCGAUGAANGCCUUCGGGUCGUAAAGCUCUGUUGUUAGGGAAGAACAAGUGCGAGAGUAACUGCUCGCACCUUGACGGUACCUAACCAGAAAGCCACGGCUAACUACGUGCCAGCAGCCGCGGUAAUACGUANGUGGCAAGCGUUGUCCGGAAUUAUUGGGCGUAAAGCGCGCGCNGGCGGUUUCUUAAGUCUGAUGUGAAAGCCCACGGCUNNACCGUGGAGGGUCAUUGGAAACUGGGAGAC
rnacentral:rRNA from 1 species